rnacentral:rRNA from 1 species
GGUUGUAGCUGGCCGGAAGGCAUGUGCACGCCUCGAUCAUCAUCCAUCUCACACCUGUGCACACACUGUAGGUCGGUUUGUGGGGCGAGAUCUUCAUYGAUUUUGCUUUGCGGRCCUUCCUAUGUUUUAUCACAAACUACUAGUUUAAAGAAUGUCUACUGCGUGUAACGCAUUUAUAUACAACUUUCAGCAACGGAUCUCUUGGCUCUCGCAUCGAUGAAGAACGCAGCGAAAUGCGAUAAGUAAUGUGAAUUGCAGAAUUCAGUGAAUCAUCGAAUCUUUGAACGCACCUUGCGCUCCUUGGUAUUCCGAGGAGCAUGCCUGUUUGAGUGUCAUGGAAUUCUCAACUUCAUUUGCUUUUGUGAAUGAAGCUUGGACUUGGAGGUAUUGCUGGCCGUACGGUCGGCUCCUCUUGAAUUUAUUAGCUCGAGCCUUUGUGGAUCAGCUUCGGUGUGAUAAUUGUCUACGCCGUUCUGUGAAGCAUAACUAUGGGAYUCGGCUUCCAAUAGUCCUUCACUGGACAAUAUCUUUGACCUUUGACCUCAAAUCAGGUAGGAUUACCCGCUGAACUUAAGCAUAUCAAUAAGCGGAGGAAAAGAAACUAACAAGGAUUCCCCUAGUAACUGCGAGUGAAGCGGGAARAGCUCAAAUUUAAAAUCUGGCGGUCUUCGGCCGUCCGAGUUGUAGUCUGGAGAAGUGCUUUCCGCGCUGGACCGUGUACAAGUCUCUUGGAACAGAGCGUCAUAGAGGGUGAGAAUCCCGUCUUUGACACGGACUACCAGUGCUUUGUGAUGCGCUCUCAAAGAGUCGAGUUGUUUGGGAAUGCAGCUCAAAAUGGGUGGUAAAUUCCAUCUAAAGCUAAAUAUUGGCGAGAGACCGAUAGCGAACAAGUACCGUGAGGGAAAGAUGAAAAGCACUUUGGAAAGAGAGUUAAACAGUACGUGAAAUUGCUGAAAGGGAAACGAUUGAAGUCAGUCGCGUUAGCCAGGACUCAGCCUUGUUUUUACUUGGUGCAUUUUCUGGUUGACGGGCCAGCAUCGAUUUUGACCGCCGGAAAAAGAUUGGGGGAAUGUGGCACCUYCGGGUGUGUUAUAGCCCUCAGUCACAUACGGYGAUUGGGAUCGAGGACCGCAGCACGCCUUUAUGGCCGGGGUUCGCCCACGUUCGUGCUUAGGAUGCUGGCGUAAUGGCUUUAAACGACCCGUCUUGAAACACGGACCAAGGAGUCUAACAUGCCUGCGAGUGUUUGGGUGGAAAACCCGAGCGCGUAAUGAAAGUGAAAGUUGAGAUCCCUGUCGCGGGGAGCAUCGACGCCCGGACUUGAACUUYGGUGAUAGAUCUGCGGUAGAGCAUGUAUGUUGGGACCCGAAAGAUGGUGAACUAUGCCUGAAUAGGGUGAAGCCAGAGGAAACUCUGGUGGAGGCUCGUAGCGAUUCUGACGUGCAAAUCGAUCGUCAAAUUUGGGUAUAGGGGCGAAAGACUAAUC